rnacentral:misc_RNA from 1 species
UCGAUUUUUAAAGAUGUGCUGGCACUCCUUCACCGGUUUGCAUGUGCACUCUGCAAAAUCUCCUUCUCUUACCCCACUGUGCACACCCAAGUAGACAAACAGAGUUACAGAGCAAUCUGUGUAAUUCCUGAUUUGCCUAUGUUUUUAUCAAACACCAAUAACAAUCUCAGAAUGAUCUAUAUAGUAAGCUUUUAACAAGCUGAAAUUUAAUA